AAAGUCGUAACAAGGUUUCCGUAGGUGAACCUGCGGAAGGAUCAUUAUCAUAACGUAUCCACGUAUAAACCAACUUAAUUGAUGUGAAACGUAACUGUUUUAACACCUCGAGAUAAUCGGAUGAUUGCUGUACUUUAUACAUUGUUUGCGUGAUUAAAGCAAAAACGGUUAGUACGGACUUGUCGAUCUGUCAAAGGAUCGCCUAGCGCUGAUUAUUUGGAGUGUAAAAUUUAAUCAAUAUUAACCCAUUGAACCGAAUUACUUAUUCUUAACUGAGUUUGUUAUUCAUUUAAUUCUAUUGUGUGAACUGAAUUGUCUGCUUACUCGAGCGCCGUAACAGGUUGUGAGAGAAGUACGAUUAUAUUUACGAAACAUUAUAAAUUUCUAUGAACAACUCUUAGCAACGGAUAUCUUGGUUCUC
rnacentral:misc_RNA from 1 species